CUUUAUAUCAUUUUUAGAAAAAAAAUAAUAUCUUCAGUUCUCUGUCUCUUGAAGGAUGGGCCAUCGGUACCAAAUAGGAUGCCAGAUAUCAUAUUGAUAACAUCAGCAGUUGAUCGAUUGUGAUUAUCAAAAGUUUCUUCUAUAAGAGGCCUAUACUCCCAAAUUUUGGUUGGUUUGACAUAUUUAUCGAGGUAACCCUGAUGCACCAAAGUUUCUAUUUCAUCUCACGGCUGUUUGUAUUCCUCGGUAUCGUGCCCAUGAUCUCUGUGGAAGCGGCAAUACUUUCGUUUGUCUCUCUUCUCUAAAGGAGCCUUCAAAGUAUCAGACCUUCAGAGAUAUCUUUCUCCUUCUAUCUUCAUCAAAAUUUGAGCUCGAAGGACGGUCAGAGAAGUAUAAGCAUUAAAGCGCUGAGAUGGACUUCUUGACCUCAAAUUUUUUUGGGAUCGAUUCGAAUUUUUAGUCUGCUCAUCAUUCUCCCUCGAUCAUUUUUUCCUAUUCUUAUCCUUCUUCACCCGCCUUAAGAUAGCCUCUUCCUCCUUGGCUUGGGCGUAUUUACAUAUCCGAUCGAGCAUCUCAUCAUAGGUGAUCGAAAAAUUUUUAUUCAAAGAAAAAAUCAAACAGUUGCUUCGAAGUUUCUUUUCAAAGUAGACAUGAUAAUUGAUUCAUUAAAAUUUUUUACCUUCAAGAUGACCGCAUUGAAAUAAGCCACAUACUUUCGGAAAUCUUCUCCUUUCUGCUGCUAAACAGAGAAGAGACUAUCCACAUACCUCAAAUGAGAUCUGUUAGUGUCAAAAUAAGUGACAAACAAUCUUCCAAAUUGCUCAAAAGAAGAGAUGGACCCCAUUGGGAGUCUAGAAAAUCAAACUCUCAUUGCCUUCUUG
rnacentral:lncRNA from 1 species